rnacentral:lncRNA from 1 species
ACUGCUCUCACACAAAGCCUGUUUGGUGGUCUCUUCACACGGACGCGCAUGAAAUUUGGUGCCAUGACUCGGAUCGGGGGACCUCCCUUGGGAGAUCAAUCCCCUGUCUUCCUGUUCUUUGCUCCGUGAGAAAGAUCCACCUACAACCUCAGGUCCUCAGACCGACCAGCCCAAGGAACAUCUCACCAAUUUUAAAUCAGACUGAGUCUCGCUCUGUUGCCCAGGCUGGAGUGCAGUGGCACGUCGGGUCACUGCAAACCUCCCGCUCCUGGGUUCAAGCGAUUCUCCUGCCUCAGUCUCCUGAGUAGCUGGGAUUACAGGCAUGAACCACCACGCCCGGACUUCCUGCCCUUUGAAUUUACCAAGAAGAGGAUAAUACUGGAGGCUGCCAUGGGAGAAGUCUGCACAAAAAGAGCAAGUUUAAGAGCUUCAGGAGUCAUAAAUGGCUUGAGAAGAUUAUGCUAGAGAUUGAAGCAGAUGGAAGAUUCUAGAAACAGAAAGCAUUCUUUUCAUUGGUGUGAGUCUUGAAUAUAAAUGGAAAUCAGAGGUCUGUAAUAGCAGGCCAGUGUGGAUAAGGCAGUAAGGUUUUGAGUCUGAGGAGAUGGCUGGGGGCAGUUUGUAGACUUAUUGUCAGUCCAGUGUAGAAUUUGAGAAUAUAGCCAGGGCUUAAGGUUCCAGUUUCAAAUUAAAGACAAAAGAAAUCAGCAAUACCAAAAUGAAGACAGAAGCCUGGGAAUUGUGCCUCAAGAUCUGGACUGAGAGGACAUUUCUACACAACAGCUCCCCUAAGGGCAGGGCUAUGACCGUUGUUGCUAAGCUGUCACCAUCUCUCCUUCCCUAUUAGACUGGCUUCUGUGGGGUAAUUAACCAGUACAAGGAUGUAUGGGAAGCUCUUCUGAGAAGACCUCACAUUAAAACAAAGUGUUGUUAUUCAAGCUGGGUCAUAUUUGGGCACCUUGUUAUUACAGCUUUGAGGAGGGAUAUCAAACUGUCAUAUUCACCUAUGAGUUUAGGAUCAGUGGAGGGAAGAGAACAGAAGGGCCACACAGAAGGGGAAGCUCAGGCACAGAUGGCCAGCAGCCAGGCUCGCUGUAGAGGUGAGAUUAUCAAACAUGACCAUACAAAGGCUGCAGAGGCAAGAUGCUUCCAAUAGCCAGGAAGAAUGUGGGCAGGGGAGAAUUUGGUCCAUUUGAAGUCAGAAUUAUACAUGAAGACACUUGUAAUCAAAUAAAUGCAGAACAUAUUUGUAAAGGGAAAUAAAGUAGGAGUUAAUUUUUUUUAACAAAUUAUGAUUGAAAUCUAAAAUACCAAGAUUAACAUUCUACAAGGGUAUUAAUACAACAAUGCCAUUUUAACUCAAAGAAUGUCUAAAUAUUUGUACAAAAUAGCUGCUUACUGAUGCUUGUGAAAAGGAAGAGAUUGCUUCCCAGCACACUGUAUCAGAGAGCCAUGAUAAUAGCCAUAGCUUAAGCAGACAAAGUAAAAUGUAAAAAUCCAAAAAAGUAUCCAUCACUACUACCACCACUCUUUAAAAAUGCAAAGCUAUUAUUUAUGGUGCAUUCCAAUUCAGUUAACUUCCUUCUUGCCUUUAAAUAGAUGCCCCUGACUUAAUUGAAGUGUUUUAAUUAAUAACAUAAAAAUAACAAAUUGGAACUAGAAAAUGAUUACAAAAUAGAAGAAAAGCCUGGGAAUGUCAAGAGGUUCUUAAGAAUAUCAGAUAAGUGAGCUCAUUCAGUGAUAGAACAAGAAAUACUAGAGGGAUAAGCUGAAAGCUACAUAGGACUGAAGUUUUUUAGACUCUACAUUUAUCAAAGUAUUGGGUCAAUUUUGUUGUGGACAUCAAAAGCUAUCUCAAGAAAAAGCUCAAAUUAUUACACUGCACUGGAAUUUUAGUUUAUCCAUUAAGAUUUGUAGGGAGCAAAACAGCAGCUUCCUUGUUAUAAUGCUGUUUGUCCUAAUGAGGGGAGCUUAAGGGAGGCAGAGAGAGAAGCACAUACUGUCUUAUUUCAAUAUGAAACCCAAACAGCAAGCAACUGUCUCUUCUACAGAAGUGCAACCUCAAAGAGUUCUGAGAGUUUUUGCCGUAUCACAGCUGGGACCUUGUUGUAGUCCAAAUUAGUGUGUGUUCCUCAAUAUCCUAAGGGAGGUUCAGAUAUCCUUUCAAUCAUUCUCCUGGAAUUCUGGCUUCUGAGAAUUUGAUAUGAAAUGGAAAUUGACUAACACGAAGAAAAGACAGAAACUUGGCCUAAGGCCAACCAUUUUCUUUCCUUAGUACAGGGUAACCAUAUAACUUAUUUUCAAACUUGGACAGACUCCGAAGGGGGCUCUUUUAAGAACUGUGCCAGGACAAUGGGAGUCGGUAGCAACUGUCCCAGGUAAAUGGAACAUAUACUCCAUUUAGUCAUAGAGAAUCUAUGUCUAAUAUAUUGUUUCUUUAGUUUUUGUAUAUCUUAGUAGCUAAAUAUAACUAAAUGUAGCUAGUCUUUAUAAAGUGUAAGCUUUUUAUUCUUUAAUACUGUGUGGCUUUGUGAGACUAUUUGGUGUCACAUAGGCCCUGUACCUCUGAGUUUACUGAGAAUAAAAACUUAUGAUUCAAAAAGUUAAGCAAUCAUUAACUAAGUAACUCCAAAGAGCCCUAAGAGAUCACACAAAUAUGGAUUUCUACUCUAUAAGUUUAAUUAGUCAUAGUACAGAGUGACUUAUGAGAAGCCUCAUGCCUCACGAAUGAUGAACGUUGAAUCUGUUCAUAAAUAAUAGAUUAAACUUUAAAUCAAUAACCAUUAGAGAAAACAGAAAUAUAUUAUGGUGAGUUUCAUUCAUAUAUAUAUCUGCCCCUUUCUAUAUAUUUUAAUUAAACCAAUUUAAGUCAUAAAUUCUUCAAUUAUAAUUCAGCCAUAGGUCCUUUCCUCAAAAACGAAAGAUAGUCAUCUGGCAUUAAAAGAGGAAGAAGGAAGUGAUCACUAACAGCUGGAAUCAAUGAUCAUAUAUAAAUAUAAACCAUGGUUCUCGGGGCCACUGUUUGUUUUUGUUUCGUGUUUUUUUGUCAAUAUUGAAAUUGUCCUGCAAAGUCAAAGUCAUCUUUCUAAAUCUAGUUGCUAAUACUAUGGCAUUCUCUUUUUUGCUAUUCUUAGUAUUGUAAGAAUGUGAACUCAGAACCUAUUAAUAGAAAGUCUUCCCUUUGGAAAAUGGAGCUUAGACCCAGAAAGGAGGGUGCUGCAUACCAGCUCUCUGCUCUCCUCCUCUGAACAGUCUCUCCCCUAGGUUUCCCCUCCUCCUCCUCCUCCUCCUCUCCCUGCAGGUUGGUCCCUCCAUCUCGUCACCAUUCUGACCUCUUUAAAUUUCUUUGUAUAGAAUUUUUUAAAUAAAAUUUCUUUUUAUAGCUAGAGUCCUAUUUUUUUCCUCUUUGUUUUGGGCCUAAUCUAUCAAGUAUUAACAUAUACAGUUUUUCUAAUGUGGGAGGAACAAGAUUGCUCAUUCAUUCAACACAUUUUGAUUGAGAGCCCACCAUGUUCCAGAUGCAAGGAUCAGCAGUGAAUAAAAAGACAUAAAAAUCCCUGCCCUCAUGAAUCUUAGAGGACAAAAGAAAGCCACUCUCAGGUUCAUCAGAAGAGUGUAAUAUAUAUAUAACAACCCUUCCUAGUACUAAGAUUAACUACCUUUAUCUUCUGGUAUUCAUUUCAUAAUAUAUGCGGUAUUUAUGUUACAUAUGUAUGUAAAUGCAUAGAAAAGUUUGGGAAUAACAAUAAUAAAAUAGGUUCAUUUUGCA